CAAUUUUCAUACUUAGCCGGCGCUCUGCCACUCUACUGAAGCCUAACUGAUCGCCGCCGUUGACAACCCUAGCGCCGCCCCUUCACCACCGUCAAAUGGCGGAAUUUCUUGAUCUCGAAUCGCAGGACUCCAUUCGCAUGCCAUGGAAUGUUCUCCCGGGGACGAAAGCCGACGCCGCGAACUGCGUAAUCCCAGUCUCCGCCAUCUACACUCCGCUGAAACCCCUCCCUUCCGCCACCCCGCUCCUCCCGUACUCCCCGCUCCGAUGCCGAAAUUGCCGAUCCGUGAUCAAUCCGUUCUCGAUCGUCGAUUUUUCAUCCGCCAACAAGAUUUGGAUCUGCAGCUUCUGUCUCCAGCGCAAUCACUUCCCGCCGCACUACCAGUCGAUAGCCGAACAGAAUUUACCGGCGGAGCUCUUCCCGCAGUAUACUACGAUUGAGUACGACACCACUGCUAAUGAGAAGGCGCAGGCUGAGAUUGCUAAAGUGUUCUUAUUUGUUGUGGAUACUUGUGUUAUUGAGGAGGAAUUGGGGUUCUUGAAGUCCGCAUUGUUGCAGGUUUUGGGAAUGGUGCCGGAGAAUUGUUUGAUUGGGUUGAUUACUUUUGGGACUUAUGUGCAUGUCCACGAGCUCGGGUAUGGGCAGAUUCCAAAGGUUCAUGUGUUCAAGGGCACAAAGGAUGUGACUAAGGACCAGUUGCUGGAACAGAUGGGCUUCUUUGCCAAAAGACCAAGACCAGCAACUGGGGUCAUUGCAGGAGUGAGGGAUGGGUUGUCGCAAGAGAGCAUUUCUAGGUUCUUAUUGCCGGCGUCCGAUUGUGAGUUCGUUCUUAACUCGAUUUUAGAGGAACUUCAGAAAGAUCCUUGGCCAGUUCCAUCAGAUCACCGGUCUGCCAGGUGUACUGGUACAGCGUUAAAUUUGGCUGCUCAUUUGCUUGGAGCAUGUGUUCCAGGUUGUGGGGCUCGAAUAAUGGCAUUUUUAGGAGGACCAUCAACAGAAGGGGCUGGAGCUAUUGUGUCGAAAAAUCUGUCUGAACCCAUACGCUCUCACAAGGACCUGGACAAAGAUUCUGUCCCACAGUACCACAAAGCAGUGAAGUUUUAUGAAGGUCUUUCGAAACAACUUGUACAUCAGGGGCAUGUGCUAGAUGUUUUUGCUUGUGCACUUGAUCAGGUUGGAGUUGCUGAGCUUAAAGUAGCAGUUGAGAAGACUGGAGGACUCAUUGUUCUUGCUGAAAGUUUUGGCCAUUCAGUGUUCAAGGAUUCCUUAAGACGUGUGUUUCAGUCUGGUGAUCAGGAUCUCGGGCUGUCAUCAAAUGGUAUAUUCGAGAUCAACUGCUCAAAGGAUAUUAAAAUUCAGGGAGUAAUUGGCCCUUGUGCAUCACUUGAGAAGAAAGGUCCCUUGUGCUCUGAAACUGUUAUCGGCCAAGGAAAUACCACUGCAUGGAAGUUGUGUGGCCUGGACAAAACUACUUCUUUGUGUAUAAUAUUUGAUGUUAUCAAGAAAGAGAGUCCAGAUGUCAUUGCUCAAUCUGCCAACAACCAGUUUUACUUCCAGUUUUUGACUUAUUAUCAGCAUGGCAGUGGACAAAUGAGACUUCGUGCUACAACUGUCUCCAGAAGAUGGGUUACUGGACCUGGAAGCAAAGAGGACAUAAUAUCUGGAUUUGACCAAGAAGCUGCUGCUGUUGUGAUGGCACGCCAAGUUGCUUUUAAAAUGGAAACUGAGGCUGAAUUUGAUCCUAUAAGAUGGUUGGAUAAAUCAUUGAUACAUAUAUGCUCACAAUUUGGAGAAUAUCAGAAGGACAUCCCUUCUUCUUUCAGUUUAUCGCCUAGGCUAUCUAUAUUUCCUCAGUUUAUGUUCCAUCUUCGGCGUUCACAAUUUGUCCAGGUUUUCAAUAAUAGCCCGGACGAGACAGCAUACUUCCGUAUGAUCCUGAACAGGGAGAAUGUUGCUAAUUCAGUUGUCAUGAUUCAACCUUCCUUGAUCUCCUACUCUUUCCAGUCUGGACCAGAACCUGCUCUUCUUGAUGUAGCUGCCAUUGCUGCUGAUAGAAUUCUUCUUUUGGAUUCUUAUUUCACUGUUGUUGUCUUUCAUGGUGCAACGAUUGCUCAAUGGAGAAAGGCUGGGUAUCAUGAUCUGCCUGAACAUCAGGCCUUUGCCCACUUGCUAAAAGCUCCACAUACUGAUGCUGAUGCCAUUACUAAAGAAAGAUUUCCAGUACCACGCCUUGUCAUUUGUGAUCAGCAUGGUUCUCAGGCCCGCUUUCUGCUAGCAAAAUUGAAUCCUUCAGCUACUUACAAUUCAGAUGCUCCAAUUGCUCCUGGAGGCGAUAUCAUCUUCACUGAUGAUGUUAGCUUUGAGGUUUUCUUAGAUCACCUUCAGCGUCUGGCAGUUCAAUAGGAUUGAUCUUACAACAAUUUCUGAGGUUAGGUAGCACUGCCGAUUUUUGUAAACUGUUAUCUUGAUCGAUUGUACAGAAAUUCAUAUGAUUGGUCUGUCUUAAUUCUCAGCUUUUACCUUAUAUAUUGCAAAAGGCAUGUAAGUCUUCCUAUGAUCCUAAUAAUAUUGAAAAUUCGUGGCUGUGAUUACUUUCUUUGAAGUCUUACUUAAUCUAGUGUUUUCUGUUCAAAAUUACCUUCAUGUUGUAGAAGGCAAACAGAAAAAUUUUAGUUAUAAAUAUUUAAUUAAAGCUGAUCCAUGCCUGUUGUGCGGCUAUUUUUAUUUUUUCGUUUUCUUAUGGAAUAUACAAACCAAUUUAUUAUUUCGAACAUGCAAUUUUCAAACACUGUUGAGUCAUUAAGCUCUUCAGUCUAUCCUCUUCCUUCUCAUAGACUGAUUCGUUAAACACCAUGAACUAAAACUGAGUUUAGCAUUUUAUGUUUUUCGUUCUUACUAGCCUCUUGACAAUGCAUGUGACAAUCGAUGCAUGGUCUAAGUGAAGUUUGGUCAUUUCCCUUUUCUGUGUAGAUUUGCUAAAUGUUGUCCUAUAAUUAUAUGUUAUUCACCAUGUCAAUAAACUGAAGUAACAUUUAUAUUUUGAUAUUAGUGUUUUUUCCAUAACUUAAUUUUACAUCUGUCUCAUAUCGUUGCAUGGCCCUACCCUCUUUUUCCAGUGCAUCACGGAUGCAUAAUUUCUCAUCUAUGUUGCAAUUUAGUGUUUAUUUGGUUUUGAAAAUCCCAGUACCCCUAAGCUUUUUGCUAACUGCCACAUGUGUAAGUUCUUCUACUAAGCAAAUGGAGAACAGCAACGUGCGGUGACUAUGCCUUGACUUUCAAGCUGUUAUUUUGUGGAGUUUGUGGAUCGAAGAUCAGUGAUGACAG